rnacentral:rRNA from 1 species
UACGUAGGGUGCAAGCGUUGUCCGGAAUUAUUGGGCGUAAAGAGCUCGUAGGCGGUUUGUUGCGUCGGCUGUGAAAACCUGAGGCUCAACCUCAGGCCUGCAGUCGAUACGAGCAGACUAGAGUGUUGCAGGGGAGACUGGAAUUCCUAGUGUAGCGGUGAAAUGCGCAGAUAUCAGGAGGAACACCGGUGGCGAAGGCGGGUCUCUGGGCAACAACUGACGCUGAGGAGCGAAAGCGUGGGGAGCGAACAGG